CGUCCAGGCGAGGCUCAUCCCACCGCUCUCCUUGUGGAGCGGGUAUGAGCGCCCUGGGGGCAAGAUGUGGCGCGUGGGGGCAGGGAUGUUUUCACAGGUGCCCCGGAGCGUUUUCAUGCGUUCAUAGCACGACAAACGUCGAAGGCGGUCAUUCCGGGCAGCUUCUCUCAGAAAAAGCACUUUCUUUUCUUUCUGGAGCAUCGUGAGGGCAUCCAGUGCUGCUGAUUGCUGGCCGCCGGGAGGAUGCAUCGGGGAGAGGGUUGCCAUGUGUCUGCCCCACUUGUCGUGGUCUUCCCCCGCAGCCGGAGUCAGCGGCACGGUACUGGGGAGCAUCGGAGUGUGAAUCUGCCCAGAAUAAUGGCCCUUUUGUGCAUCUGUCAGAGUGCAAAAUUGGAAGAGAAACCCUCUAAGAAAGCGUAUUACCUGUUUGAUAGAACCAAGGAGCUGCAACCCCCAUUUGUCUCCUGGAUAAAGAUAUUUCUCAUGUACCUUAAAAGUCUGUGUUAUGACCCUGCUGCAGAGAAGGCAGAUAUCCUUUUGAAGUCCACUAACUAAUUGGAGAAAAAUGUAUUGUGAUUGGCAUAGACCCAGGCAAUAUGAAUUUGUGUAAUACUGGCUACAACUAUCUCUUUUCCCCUAAACAUAUAUAUUUAUACAUACAUAUAGUGUCUCAUAUAUGUAACUGAAUAGUUUCAAGUAACAGUGGCAAACGUUUGCCAAUUUAUCUGCCAAGCCAGGCUACAGAAACGACCACUGUGUUUAGUUCUAGCAACAGCUAGUAGCUGUUCUCGUUGUGGUGCUUUACUGUAAAAAGAAAGAACAGGCCCUGCCUUGGGGAGUUUUUAAUCUGUGGUAGUGCCACCAGUAGUUCCUGGGGAAAAGUAUUUAAAACUCCAGAGCCUUGUUUCCCUCUCAGUAAGUAUAUUCCUACAGUCAACAUAUAUUUAAACAUUUUGCUGUGUGUCUGCAAAUUGUUGCAUUCAUCUUAGUGCAAAAAAAAAAAAAAUCCUUCCUUCGAAAUCUAGAUGUGUUUUCUCUCACAAAACUAACACUCCCUAAGCAGCAGUACAUGCAGAGAUACCAGUAUUGCAGGUUUCUUGGACUUGUAUUUUAGGUUUGCCCGUCCUAGUCUUAUGACAAACCAUUGCACAGGGAAUGAGUGCAAUGCCACCGCUUGCAUUUCAUUCAAUUGUGCAAGUUUGAACCUGCUGUUAGCUUUGGCUUCUCCAAACAAGAGUCUUGAAAUUGCAGACAGCUCCUUGCAGGUUAGAUCGGGCCUAGAUGAAUAGGAGUUAGUACAUGCUGGCUGAUGGAAUUGGUCCUGUUACCUGAAAAGGUUGUGAGCUCCUGCUCUAAGCCAUUAGGAAGCUUUAUCACAGCACUAGCUAUGUUGUAACUCAGCGAGUGUUUGAUCUUUUGCCCACCCAGGCACUGGAGGCAUUUUUAAUUAUCUGAAGGUUAAUUUGCAUAGAAACUUUUGCUGAAACAAUAAAUUCAUACCUUUGUUAUUUUUUGGUAGGAGUUUCCAUAUCAACAUUUAUAUCGGGAUAAAAACAAAGUAACUUCCUACUAGCAUUAAAACAAAGGUGUUGAUUCAGAGUAAGUUUGAGAAUCGUCCAGCACUAAAAACAUCUUUCAUAUCUGUGCAGGGAAAGAGCAAUUAUAGUCUGUGCUAGGAAAACGUGAGCUCUAAUGCUUCUUUCCUGUGCAGGGAUAAGGAGAUAUAAACAUCUUGUCAGACAAAAAACGUGUUUUGCAAGGCUCAGCAAAUACGAUAUUCAACCGGAACUAAUGUGUUAUACUCGAGACUGUUCCAAGAGAUUUCUAUGAAAAGGCUCCAUAACUAAGUUCUGCCUAAUACAUCAGCUCAGGUGCAUAUUUCUUCCCAGUACUUCAAAGCAAUCUGCUGAACUGGCUGGACUUUCCCUGGAGGGAUAAAGUACAGAUGUUUGUCUUUCAGAUGUUCAGCUGCAACGUGAGCAUCUUGAAGUUCUCUGACAAUUUCCCCUCCACAGGGCAAGCUCCACUUGAAAGCUAUUCUACAUUUCCCUUUCCCUCAGUCGUAGGAGGCGUCUUACAUUUUUGCUGUCCUGAACUGUGCCAAGGAAGCUGAUGCUGAAUUUCCAGAAGCAGAAAUUGAUGAAGUUGAUAUUUCAUUUACAGAGAGACUUUCUGGGUAGUGGAGGCAUUGCAUGUUCUUUAUUAAAGAAAAGGAAAAAUACAACCAGAACAACAUUUCGGCUUCUCCAGCAAAGUUUCUAUUUUGAUUUAUUGAAAACUUGUCCAACCAGUUAUUUAUAUUUUAUCUGUGAAAGACUCAAAAAAGUUCAACUGAAACAGAUAUUUCCAUGGAAACAUCCAUCUUUGAUGAGAUGUCGUUCCUCAGAUGUUUCAGCUGAAGAAUUUUGUCAGUUCUGGCAGGGAAAAGAGUGGGGGCAGAACAAAGACCAAGCUCACGGUAAAACAUGCAAUGCUUCAAGUUAAUGGGCUAGAAUGUCAGCUGGUAAACUGCCAUAAAGCCAGUGAAGUCAACCAGUCAACCCGAGUCAAUGGAGCUAUGCUAAUUUACACAGAGGAUCUGGCCUUACAUUUUAAAAGAACCAGCCUAGCAAGCUGUUUCCCUGCUUACCCAUCCUCCUCCCUUUUAAUAAGCUCUCGGUUGUACUUGGCCUAUCCUUUGACAAUUCAUCCUUCUGUCCUCAUGAUCCUUCUUCCUUCUCUGGAGAUACUGAGAUGGGAUUUUCUACUUGCAGUCCUCACAGAAACACCAUAGACAGGUUAGACUCUACACAGGUGGCAAUACUGGCUACUGGCUACUGACACAUUCCUUGUGCCUGUUUCUGGACUCUUGUGUCCAUCCUCUAUUUUGUCUUUAUUUAACCAGUACAAAACAACUUCAGUGGUACUUGCUAUAUAUUAUGAUAUAGUAUAUUAUAUUGUAAUGUAUAGAUCCUGAAAUACUGAAGUAUCAAGCUCCUAGAGCCGCUUUAAUAGGUGUUUUAAUAGGUGUUUUACUUUAAUAGGAGUUUUGUUUGUCUAGCCACAAUUCUGGAAUUAAGAUCUGUAAGAUAUUUCUAGGACACAAUCCAGCCUGUGGAACAAGAAACUUCUCUGCAGUAGAAGUUAGCAUUUCUUUUUCCUGCAAAGGGCCAAAUAGGUAUUUCAAACACAGUUGGCAAGAUGCAUAUUAAUGCAUUCGCAUUUUUUUUUGUUGUUGCGUGUAACUACAGUAUGUAAUGAUUCUGUGUAACUGCUCAGUCCUAUGUAGCCUGUAACUAUAUGAAGUAAAUGCUUGGACGAUAUCCAGCUCUAAAGUUCCAAGUUUCUUACCCCUUUCCUCUGAAGACAAGGUCCAAAGUACUAUGUCAGACCCACCAGACUACUUUUCUUGAACUAGUUCUAGUAUCUUGGUGACCAUGUCCUUCUCUCUCAGCUAUGUAUUAAAUAGAAUGGAGAAGGAAGUGUUGACACAGAAAAUCUCCCCUGCAGACCUUAAAAGGCUUCUGUGUCCUUUUUUUGGAAGAUCCUCAUGGAAAAAGGAAGGAUGCCCGAUUAUCACCUGUAGAAACAAAUAGUUUUGAGUCUCCAGAGAACGUGAGGCCAUGCUUUCAGUGAUGUAUUUCAAGUGCUUAGGUUCACUGUACCUGAUCUUGUUCACAAGGAGGAUUGAAGACACCAUGCAAUGUCUGGGACAUCAUCUCUGUUGAUUCUCAGAAGCGCAUUAUAUGGAGCAACUCUUUGCUCACCUUUUUCCACAGUAUCUGAGAAGCUGUUUGAUUGUUCCACGUACUGAGCUGAUAACUGCAGCUUCCAGAGAAAUAAAAGGUGUGUGAAUAGUUCCCUUACUGAAAACCUGCAGACUUCAUAUUGAUUAAGUCAAGCCUUUGAAACACCAGAAGCAUGACUGAUAUCAUUUCAAUUUCAGCUCAGCGUCCUGAUUGGCAUGCUCGUUUAAUGCCUUCUCCUUAUUUGUUAAAUUUAAUUGAUGAUUAUUGCAUUUAUUUCUAAAUAAAAUUGUUUUAAUUAAAAAAA